UUUUCUAUGCAAUACUUUGUGGAAGGUUUCUUGUCUGUUUUCUUUUAGUCAUAGUUUCCCACUUUUAGGGUUCGUGUUGCCAAAUCUUAAAUUUUCUAUGUAAUACUUUAUGGAAGGUUUCUUGGCUGUUUUCUUUUGUUCAUAGUUUCCCCACUUGUCGAGGUCGUGCUGACAGCUGUUAAAUUUUCUAUGUAAUACUUUGUGGACGGGUUCUCGUCUGAUUUGUUUUAGUCCUGGUAAUGUGUUCCCUCUUGUGUGGUUUUCUUUCUUAAAAUUAUUAAGUAGUAUUGUCACCCCUGUUUCCUGUUAUAUCUCAUCAGAAUCUUAACCAAAUUUAUUUAUGUAAGGUUGAAUAUCAAUGAAAUCAAUGCAUUAUUCGAUAAAUCUAAGCAGGUGGGAAGCGUCAUGUUGUCUCCUUG
rnacentral:lncRNA from 1 species